CUUCCCUCCCUCGCUCCCUCCCUCCAGGAAUCCAGCGCUGCACCGAAGCCAGAAGAGAGGGAGCAAAACCCAGCCCAGGCCGACAGCCGCGUCCUGAAACCAAACCCGCCCUUCGCGUCGCAAAGGAGAUUUUUUUUUUUUUUUAAAUCAUUAUUAUUAUUAUUAUUUUUAUUUUUAAUACCCCUGACCCGAGCACGGUGGCGGCAGCGGCGCCGGGGCAGGGAGGCUGUCCCGGUUAUUUAUUCUCUCCCCGCAGAGCUGUCCCUCCGGCUCACCAUGAUGUUCCGAGACCAGGUUGGCGUGCUGGCCGGGUGGUUCAAGGGCUGGAACGAGUGCGAGCAGACUGUUGCGCUGCUCUCCCUGCUCAAACGCGUCAGCCGGACCCAGGCUCGCUUCCUCCAGCUCUGCCUCGAGCAUUCCCUGGCAGACUGCACCGAGCUCCACAUCCUCGAAGGGGAGGCCAACAACCCCGGAAUCAUUAACCAGUGGCAACAGGAAUCCAAGGAUAAAGUGAUCUCCCUCUUGUUAACCCACCUGCCUUUACUGAAGCCCGGCAACAUCGAGGCGAAAGUCGAGUACAUGAAACUCUUGCCCAAAAUCCUGGCGCACUCCAUCGAGCACAACCAGCACAUCGAGGAGAGCAGGCAGCUGCUGUCCUACGCCUUGAUCCACCCUGCCACCUCCCUGGAGGACAGGAGCGCCCUGGCCAUGUGGCUCAACCACCUGGAGGACCGCACGUCGGGGGGCUUCGGCGGGCAGGGCCGGGGCCGCUCGGACUCGCUGGACUACGGGCAGGCUCACUACUAUCACCAAAGACAGAAUUCUGACGACAAACUCAACGGGUGGCAGAACUCUCGGGACUCCGGCAUCAGCGUCAGUGCCUCCAGCUGGCAGGACAAAAACCUGGCCUGUGAGAACGGCCACCUGCCCCUCUACUCCUCCUCCUCCGUCCCCACCACCAUCAACACCAUCGGCACUAGCACAAGCACCAUUCUCUCAGGCCAGACACACCACAGCCCUUUGAAACGCUCUGUGUCCCUUACCCCACCCAUGAAUGUGCCAAACCAACCUCUAGGACAUGGAUGGAUGUCUCAUGAGGACUUACGAGCUAGAGGACCCCAGUGCAUCCCUUCCGAUCAUGCCCCCCUGUCUCCACAAAGCAGUGUAGCCUCUUCGGGAAGUGGUGGGAGUGAACAUUUAGAAGAUCAGCCUUCCGCUCGUAACACAUUCCAGGAGGAAGGGAGUGGGAUGAAAGAUGUCCCAGCCUGGCUGAAGAGCCUCCGGCUGCACAAGUACGCUGCCCUCUUCUCCCAGAUGACGUACGAGGAGAUGAUGGCCCUCACCGAAUGCCAGCUCGAGGCACAAAAUGUUACCAAAGGCGCGAGACACAAAAUAGUCAUCAGUAUCCAAAAGCUAAAAGAAAGACAAAACCUGCUCAAAUCUCUAGAAGGGGACAUCCUGGAAGGCGGCAACUUGCGUGUCCCGCUGCAGGAGCUGCACCAAAUGAUCCUCACCCCCAUCAAAGCCUACUCUUGCCAAAACUCGAGCACGGAGGAGCACGGCCGGGACGUGGACUCGCACCACCCCUCCUCCCUGCUGGGCUCGGACAGCCAAGGCUCGGAGUGCAAGGACUCGGCGGGGGCCGGGAUGCAGCAGCAUCACCUGCCGGGGUGCGAGGGCGAGUCCGGGGGGGCCCCUUUGCCCGAGGGUGACCUGCCUGGCCAGUUCACCCGAGUGAUGGGGAAAGUCUGCACACAACUUUUAGUUUCCCGACCCGAUGAAGAGAAUAUAAGUUCCUAUUUACAGCUCAUAGACAAAUGUCUAAUCCAUGAGGCGUUUACAGAGCUCCAGAAGAAGCGGCUGCUGUCAUGGAAACAGCAGGUGCAGAAACUCUUUCGGUCUUUCCCUCGGAAAUCCCUCCUGGAGCUGUCAGGCUAUCGGCAGCAGAGGAGCCGAGGCUUUGGCCAGUCCAACUCGCUCCCGACAGCCGGAUCCGCGGGGGCAGGGCUGGCACGGAGGAACCCCCGGCAGUUCCAGAUCCCCUCCCGCAACCUCCCCACGGCCCGGCUGGGGCUGCUGGGCCCCACGGGGCUGCUGGGCACCCCCCAGCGCAGCCCUGCCGCCAGCCCCGCCAUCCUCAAGCAAGGCAGACAGAACCUGUGGUUUGCCAACCCUGGGGGCAGUAACAGCAUGCCCAGCCGGAGCCACAGCUCGGUGCAGAGGACGCGCUCGCUGCCGGUCCACACGUCCCCGCAGACCAUGCUGAUGUUUCAGCAGCCAGAGUUCCAGGUGCCGGUGACUGAACCUGACAUCAACAACAGGCUGGAGUCCCUGUGCCUGAGCAUGACGGAGCACGCACUCAGCGGUGAGCAUUCCCUCCUCCUGGGGCUCUUCCAGCACGUCCACGCCGCCUCUGCUGAGCCCCCCAGCACCUGCCCCCUGCCCCCCAAAAGCUGGGACAGGCUGUGGCUGUGAGAGCGGGGCCGGGGAGCGGGGAUGCUCCCGGGGAUGCUCCCGGGGGUGUUCAGAUGGGAAUAUCGGCUUCUCUCGGCGAGGCGGCCGGAGCAGGGGGUAAAGCCGAACGCGGGGAUCGCACCAGCACUAGUGGAGUCUGUGCUAAUUAGCCACUCGUCAGCUUGCUAAUGAUAAUUAGUGUUAGCUCGCUACUCUCGUUAGCUCUCGAUAAAGCCCCUGCUGCCGGCGCGCUCGGAUGGGUCACGGGCUUUGGAGCGUUGUGCCCUUCCACCACCGGAUCCCUCAAUUGUCUGGGGGUGCCCCACAGCUGGGGGCUGAAUCCCUGCCGGGGGCUGUGCCACACACAGCCGGGGGUGCCAGUGGAUAAUGGGCACGGGGAGGGAGGAGGACCGGGGCAAAAACAAGCAGGGAAGAUGGAAAAGGCAGCAGCAGAGCGAUGGAGAGCCCGCUGCAGCACCAAGCACCGGCACCAGAAGCUCCCGGUGUCCCGUGCCCACGCUCUGGACCCCCAAGCACAAGGGAUGACCCCCAGUGAUGGGAUGAGCACGGCCACCAGCAUCACCCGGACUCCCAAGUGACCGGCUCGGGUCUCGCUGCGGAAAUCCUGGACUGUGACGGACGCUUGAGGACGGGAGCCCUCGGAGAGCACGAGUGCCACCAGGAGCCCUCGGGGAGGACAAGUGCCACCAGGCCCCCUGCAGGUGCAACAGCCUUUCCCGGGGAGAGGAACAGGAGAACAAGGACUGUGGGAAGCAGCAGGGCCCUGGCAGCAUCCCUGGCUGGGAAAACAAGGACACUUCUGUCACCCGAAGCGUUUCUCCGGCGUGUGCCCAGCCGAGGCUUAGCUGUCUUGUUCCUCUGCAGGAUGGUGUCGACAGAACCUCCACGAUCUAGAAGGCGUCGCCACGGGGACGCUGGCUGGGACAACAACUGCUGCGGGUCCAGCGGCGAGGUCGGGGCUUGAGGGAGCCUCAGCGAUAGCUUGCAUCCUUUCUCCUCUCUCCUCUCCUCUCUCUCUCUCUCUCUCUCUCUCUCUCUCUCUCCUGUUUUAAUUUUGUGAAUGUGUAGAUUGUCCUUGUGAACAUAUCAUUAGACUUGGAA